GAUGAACGCUGGCGGCGUGCUUAACAUAUGCAAGUCGAACGGAAAGGCUCCUGCUUGCAGGGGUACUCGAGUGGCGAACGGGUGAGUAACACGUGGGUGAUCUGCCCUGCACUUCGGGAUAAGCCUGGGAAACUGGGUCUAAUACCGGAUAGGACGAUGGUUUGGAUGCCAUUGUGGAAAGUUUUUUCGGUGUGGGAUGAGCUCGCGGCCUAUCAGCUUGUUGGUGGGGUAAUGGCCUACCAAGGCGUCGACGGGUAGCCGGCCUGAGAGGGUGUACGGCCACAUUGGGACUGAGAUACGGCCCAGACUCCUACGGGAGGCAGCAGUGGGGAAUAUUGCACAAUGGGCGCAAGCCUGAUGCAGCGACGCCGCGUGGGGGAUGACGGCCUUCGGGUUGUAAACUCCUUUCGCUAGGGACGAAGCGCAAGUGACGGUACCUGGAGAAGAAGCACCGGCUAACUACGUG
rnacentral:rRNA from 1 species